rnacentral:siRNA from 1 species
GUUGGUGCAAUGGAUCAAG